UGGGGGAUAUUGCACAAUGGGCGAAAGCCUGAUGCAGCGACGCCGCGUGGGGGAUGAAGGCUUUCGGGUUGUAAACCUCUUUCGCUAUCGAACAAGGCCCGCUUAGGGUGGGUUGAGGGUAGGUGGAGAAGAAGCGCCGGCUAACUACGUGCCAGCAGCCGCGGUAAUACGUAGGGCGCGAGCGUUGUCCGGAAUUAUUGGGCGUAAAGGGCUUGUAGGCGGCUUGUUGCGCCUGCUGUGAAAACGCGGGGCUUAACUUCGCGCGUGCAGUGGGUACGGGCAGGCUUGAGUGUGGUAGGGGUGACUGGAAUUCCAGGUGUAGCGGUGGAAUGCGCAGAUAUCUGGAGGAACACCGACGGCGAAGGCAGGUCACUGGGCCAUUACUGACGCUGAGGAGCGAAAGCAUGGGAAGCGAACAGG
rnacentral:rRNA from 1 species